GAUGAACGCUGGCGGCGUGCCUAAUACAUGCAAGUCGAGCGAACGGACGAGGAUCUUGCUUCUCUGAUGUUAGCGGCGGAAGGGUGAGUAACGCGAGGAUAACCUACCUAUAAGACUGGGAUAACUUCGGGAAACCGGAGCUAAUACGGGAUAAUAUCUUGAACCGCAUGGUUCAAAAGUGAAAGACGGUCUUGCUGUCACUUCUAGAUGGAUCCGCGCUGCUUUAGCUGGUUGGUAAGGUAACGGCUUACGAAGGCAAGCAUGCAUAUCCGACCUGAGAGGAGGGUCGCCCGCAUGGGAGCUGGACCGCGGUCCUUGGUCCUACGGGACGGCCCAGACGGCAACCUUAGGCAGUGGGCGAAAGCCUGACGGAGCGACGCCGCGUCUGAUGUAGCGGCGCCCGGUGCGUGAUGACCGCUUUUGGGGUGAGAACAGCUGUGUACGUAGCUGUGCCCUUCGUGACGGUAACUAAUCAAAAAGCCACGGCUAACUACGUG
rnacentral:rRNA from 1 species